rnacentral:rRNA from 1 species
GACGAACUGUCCUAACGUUGUUCAGAAUCACUGGGCUUAAAGGGCGCGUAGGCGGUCCAUCAAGUCAGGGGUGAAAUCCUGCAGCUCAACUGCAGAAGUGCCUCUGAUACUGGUGGUCUGGAGGGAGAUAGGGGUGUGUGGAACUCACAGUGGAGCGGUGAAAUGCGUUGAUAUUGUGAGGAACGCCGGAGGCGAAAGCGACGCACUGGAUCUCUUCUGACGCUGAGGCGCGAAAGCUAGGGGAGCAAACGGG